rnacentral:rRNA from 1 species
CCCUUAGAUGUUCUGGGCCGCACGCGCGCUACACUGACGAAGUCAGCGAGCAUGUCCUACGCCGACAGGUGCGGGGAAUCUUGUCAAACUUCGUCGUGAUGGGGAUUGAUUAUUGAAAUUCUUGAUCAUCAACGAGGAAUUCCUAGUAAGCGCAAGUCAGCAGCUUGCGUUGAUUACGUCCCUGCCCUUUGUACACACCGCCCGUCGCUACUACUGAUUGAAUGGUUUAGUGAGAUCUUCGGAUUGGCGCCACUGCGGCUCAGCAAUGGGCUCGGUGGAUGCCGAAAAGUUGAUCAAACUUGAUCAUUUAGAGGAAGUAAAAGUCGUAACA